UUGUUGCCCUUUUUUAUUGCUGUAGUUAUUGUUGUUAUCAAUGUCAUCAUUGUUGGAUAGGACAGAGAAUUGGAGAGAGAUGGGAAGACAGAGAGGGGAAGAGAAAGAUAGACACCUGCAGACCUGCUUCAACGCUUGUGAAGCGACUCCCCUGCAGGUCGGGAGCCAGGGGCUUGAACCCGGGAUCCUUACACCGGUUCUUGCGCUUUGUGUCACAUGCACUUAACCUGCUGCACUACUGCCUGACUCCCCGUAUGAUGUUUUUUAAAGAAUAAUAUAACUCUUUUUAGCUGUGCCAGAGAUUAAGCCCAGGGCCAUACCAUGCUUACAUUCAUUCUGCCACAGAGCUAAUCCCAACUCGUGAUUCAUUUUCAAUAGGAGUGAUGCCAGCUAGUACUAGGAGUACUGCUUGCUGUUCAUGCCGUGUGGAUAGGAGAUACCUUAGUUUUCCUACUCAAGAUAAAUUUACACUAAUUCCACCUUUGAAAUAUAAGACAGAGAGAUGUGAUAGGGGAGAGAAUUUUUAGGGAAAGAUGUGAAUAGUUGAACUUGACAUAGUAAUGAAGUUGCUUGGUAAUGUAAACACAAUGUACAUUUAUUCUGUCUACACCUUAAGACACACAAUUUGUAGGAAUUCGUAUACAUUAUAUUCCCUGUGUUGCCUCUGACUGCAAUUGUUCAAAAUGCUUGUUUUUAUUUUAUGCUCCUUUCUCAUCCUCCUUGAGUUUUUAAAAGUCUGUCUAAAGCAAGAGCUAGGAAAGCUGUACAUUGUAAUAGCUGUGGUAAAGCUACAUUGUCAAUCUCUUCAAAGUCUAUUAGAAAAUUAUUUGAAUGAUAAUAAAAAUAAUGGUUUAUAUUA